AGCUCAAAAGUCAUCAUGCUUUCUCUGAAUUGUUAGCCCAAUAUUCACAGAGCGGUUAUAGGUAUAUUGAGAUGAUUUCUUUGGAGCAAUUCUUGACAACAUUUGUAGUUGAGGCCUUUAGAAUGGAAGAAUGUAUUUCACUAAUUUUUGUAUACAUUUCUUGUUUUUUAUUUAGUGAUAAAGGAAUCUGAAUUGAGCAUAAAUUAUGUUGUAAUAUGAUUUCUUAAGCCUAGACUAGCAGACUAAAUAUUGUAAUUACAUUUGAGUAAUUAAUAAAAAUCUAUUUAUGUUA